rnacentral:snRNA from 1 species
GUGAUUGUUUCUGCAGCACAUACUAAAAUUGGAACCACACAGAGAAGAUCAGUAUGGCCCCUGCAAGGGUGCAAGGGUGACAUGCAAAUUCGUGAAGCAUUCCAUAUUUUU